rnacentral:rRNA from 1 species
GGCGGCACGCCUAACACAUGCAAGUCGAGCGGCAGCGAGUUUAGUAGCAAUACUAGAUGUCGGCGAGCGGCGGACGGGUGAGUAACACGUAAGAACUUGCCGUAUAAAUGGGGACAACCAAGGGAAACUUUGGCUAAUACCGAAUGCACUCGAGAGAGGAAAGGCGCCUAGCAAUAGGUGUCGCUAUAUGAGAGGCUUGCGUCUGAUUAGCUAGUUGGUGAGGUAAUAGCUUACCAAGGCGAUGAUCAGUAACUGGUCUGAGAGGACGACCAGUCACACUGGGACUGAGACACGGCCCAGACUCCUACGGGAGGCAGCAGUGGAGAAUAUUGGACAAUGGGGGCAACCCUGAUCCAGCGAUGCCGCGUGGGUGAAGAAGGCCUUCGGGUUGUAAAGCCCUUUAAGAUGGGAAGAAGCUGAUUAGACGAAUAAUCUAAUUGGUUGACGGUACCGUCAGAAUAAGCACCGGCAAACUCCGUGCCAGCAGCCGCGGUAAUACAGA